CACGCCGUAAACGAUGAAGACUAGCUGUCCGGGCACAUGGUGCUUGGGUGGCGCAGCUAACGCAUUAAGUCUUCCGCCUGGGGAGNACGCGCAGAACCUUACCAGCGUUUGACAUGUCCGGACGAUUUCCAGAGAUGGAUCUCUUCCCUUCGGGGACUGGAACACAGGUGC
rnacentral:rRNA from 1 species